rnacentral:lncRNA from 1 species
CACACACACACACACACACACAGAUCUGUAAGAAACUGACUGUUCUACACUGUGUAUUAACUCUUACAUGCGCUGUUAACUAGCUUGUUAGUAUAAUCUGGGCUAGUGGUUGUGGUAAGUGUUUAUAAUUGAUGUUUUGUGUGUGUGUGUGUGUGUGUGUGUGUGUGUGUGUGUGUGUAGUUGUGAAGUUAGCUGGUUAGCUACCUACAUUAGCCUCGUAGUUUAAAUAUGGACUCAGUGUUCUCUAAAAACAGAACUGAUUGCUCUUGACCUACAGAGACAGUAUACCAGGUGAACCACGCUUAAGCCUGAUCCACCUGCAGUCACCUGUUGACCUGAAGAGAUUGUUUGAACUAGGGUUAGCAUUAACAGUUAGUUAGAAUUUAGGGUUCUCCUGUACAGAAGACAAUGUUUUUGUUUCAUCAACUGCUGAAGUUUUCCUUGGUCAACCUGUUUAACAUCUGUUACCUAGUACACCAGUGACGACUUUCUUCUACAGAGCAUUUCAUAGUUGUACUGGCUAUAGACAAAAUAUAUGUGCAAUGGCUCUCAGCUUUAAAAUCACUUGUUUUUACCCAUAGACCCUCAUUGCUCUCUGAUUUUCAUGUUGGUUACUCCUCUAUAAAUGCACAUUAGCUGUUCCUUUACCUGUGAGCCUGGGGUGCUUGAACUUUUAAAAGAAUCCCAAACGUUUCUGUACCAAUCAAAUAUUAAACCCUAGGAGUGUGUGUGUGUGUGUGUGUGUGUGUGUGUGAGGGAGUUAGACGCCCGUGGGAAAAACACAGCUGUGUUUGAGUAUGAGAGAGAGAGAGAGAGAUAUGGACUUUGUGUAUGGACUUUGGUAUCUUAUGUCACAUUUCAAGAGAGUGUGUUUAAGUGUGUUAAGAGUGUGUAGAGUGAGUAUAUCUGAGAGUGUGUUAAGAGUGUGUUUGAGUGUGUUAAGAGUGUGUAGAGUGAGUAUAUCUGAGAGUGUGUUAAGGGUGUGUUUGAGUGUUGAUGACUCCUGCAAACCCACAGCAGUUAAGGAAAAGAGCCUCCCACAGUGCCAGGUUGCACUUUCCUGACCUUUCAGAAUAUAUCACUCCACACACACAUACA